rnacentral:rRNA from 1 species
UACAGAGGGUGCGAACGUUGCUCGGAAUUACUGGGCGUAAAGCGCGUGUAGGCGGAUGGGUAAGUCAGGUGUGAAAUCCCCGAGCUCAACUCGGGAACUGCACUUGAAACUGCUCGUCUUGAGUACCGGAGAGGGUGGCGGAAUUCCUGGUGUAGAGGUGAAAUUCGUAGAUAUCAGGAGGAACACCGGUGGCGAAGGCGGCCACCUGGACGGUUACUGACGCUGAGACGCGAAAGCGUGGGGAGCAAACAGGAUUAGAUACCCUGGUAGUCCACGCUGUAAACGAUGGGUGCUAGGUGUCUCGGGUAUUGACCCCUGAGGUGCCGUAGCUAACGCGUUAAGCACCCCGCCUGGGAAGUACGGUCGCAAGACUAAA